UGGAAUACUAAAGCAGGACUUUGGUUCUAUUUUGUUGGUUUGUGAACCUUAGUAAUGGUUAAUAGGAACGGUUGGGGGCAUUCGUAUUUAACUGUCAGAGGUGAAAUUCUUAGAUUUGUUAAAGACGAACUACUGCGAAAGCAUUUGCCAAGGACGUUUUCAUUAAUCAAGAACGAAAGUUAGGGGAUCGAAGACGAUCAGAUACCGUCGUAGUCCUAACCAUAAACCAUGCCGACUAGGGGAUUGGAGGUCGUCAUUUUUCGACUCCCUUCAGCACCUUUGAGAGAAAACAAAAGUCUUUGGGUUUCUGGGGGGA
rnacentral:rRNA from 1 species